rnacentral:misc_RNA from 1 species
UUAGGAGAUGAAAUACCGAACAUUUCAAGAGCCAUUCCCUCAGAUAUGUCAACUUCUGUCUCAUUUGCAGAGUCUUCAAGGAUAAUUUUUGGUAUUUCAGGUAUAUCAUUAUCCUUACCAAGGUAUUUCACCUUGCUUUCGGUUUUCCCUGCAGAUAUUCCACUACCAACACGGAAUACAGCUUGAACCCAGCGCCUAUUCAUCACCAACUCCCUUGACCGAUUUUCCACUUGCUUGAAACACAAGAUGUGCUCCUCAGCAUCAAAACCAUUUCCAUUGAAGAGAUUUAUUAAAAACUCAUCAGAAAAAUAGAAAGCCCUAGUCCCAUCACCCCGGACAUAGAAGUUAUCACUGAUUUUUUUGUUCCUUGGAGGUAAGCCUUUCCUGAGCAAG